GCAAUUGCAAUGCAUUAUGGGUAUGUUCUUAUGCGCUCACCCUCUUAGAGAAGUAUAGAACAUAUAAGUUGUUAGAUUGGCGCAAUACACCAUAUAAUUAAAAAAAGUGCAGUAUCUGUUGUUGUUGUAAAUUAUUUUCACUGACAAUAAAUAGUCUUGUUUGUUUCAGCAACAUAACUUUAAUGAAGCAUAACAUAGACCAUUAGUUAUUAUCCAGCCAGAAAAUAACAAAUUUAGAUAUUAAGUUUAAAGUUCUUGCAAUGUCAUUGACUAUCAAGGACUUUAGUUAAAUAUUUAUUAUCUUAAUAAAUAUUUUACAAAAACACAAAGUCCUGAGGUUUAACCUACAAAAAAAAUUUAACUGAUAAUAAUACAUUCUAAUGUAAGGGACUGGGAUCAGACAGGAUCAAACCCAUCAUUUUAUCACUUAAAAUGAGAUUCAAACAAGCUUAAACUUCGAAACCUGCUGAAGCACAGUGGUACGGAGACUAAACAAAUGAAAAUAUGAAGCUGUGACAGAGAUGUGUUCAAACCCCACAGAUGUAAUGAAUGACUUUUACUCAAUCUAAACCUAGAUUAAAGUGAAUUUAAAAUCUAAAUGACCAUAAAACAGGUUAAAUGCUUCAAUUGCAAACAUGAAAGUCAAGGUUCAAAUCCCACAAUCAUUAAAUUUAUUAAUCAUUUAGAACAAAUCUCUCAAUAAAAGCCUGUUCGAAAUGCUAAUUGACUUGACAGACUCAGUGGCUCAGGAGGUAAAGCUCUGCAUUUUAAUUCAGGAGCUCUGAGUUCAAAUCCCACUAUUGCUUACUUUAAAUUGAUCUCAGCCAACAAAGUCACUCAAACGGCAAACCACAGCAUGAAAUCCAUGAUGGGUUAGUGGAUGAACACACUCUCUCUGAGGGUCAGACUGUGAUGGAGACAUGGGUUCAAAUCCCACCUCCAAAAAUCACAAACACAGCUCACUUUAACUUCUUUAUUGGGUAAUCACAGGUAAACAGUCAAAUAUAAGUUCCUUCAAGUGCUCCAGCAAGAGAUCUGUGGCUCGCAGGUAAGAGCGCUGCCUCACGGUUCAGAGGUUGCUGGUUCGAUCCCAGCCAGGUCUCUGCGAUACGGGUGAAUGGAGGAGUGUGUGUGAAGGCGCGCCUGAAGAAGGGGGAUAUCAGUACGGUCUCCCCCUGGAGCUUCCAGCACUGUGACCCGCAGCGGUUAUACUUUUGCACACACUGAAAAAAUAAAUAAAGCUGCAUAAAAAUUCUCAUCCCGCGUCCCUUCCCCAGCUACUUAGGUUCCCAUCAUUUGCUUU
ensembl:lncRNA